rnacentral:rRNA from 1 species
CCUACGGGUGGCAGCAGUGAGGAAUAUUGGGCAAUGGGGGCAACCCUGACCCAGCCAUGCCGCGUGAGUGAAGAAGGUCUUCGGAUUGUAAAGCUCUUUCGGACGUGACGAUGAUGACGGUAGCGUCUAAAGAAGCACCGGCAAACUUCGUGCCAGCAGCCGCGGUAAUACGGAGGAUCCGAGCGUUAUCCGGAUUUAUUGGGUUUAAAGGGAGCGUAGAUGGGUUGUUAAGUCAGCGGUAAAAGCCCGGGGCUCAACCCCGGCGAGCCGUUGAAACUGGCUGUCUUGAGAUGUCGAGAGGUAUGCGGAAUGCGCAGUGUAGCGGUGAAAUGCUUAGAUAUUGCGCAGAACUCCGAUUGCGAAGGCAGCAUACCGGCGGCGAUCUGACGCUGAGGCACGAAAGCGUGGGUAUCGAACAGGAUUAGAUACCCCUGUAGUC